UGCCGGUGCUUCUGGCAGGGGAGUAACACCUGUUACCAUACCGAACACAGAAGUAAAGUCCCCUUGCGCCUAUGGUACUGCCGGGUUUCCCGGUGGGAGAGUCGGUCGGUGCCGACGC
rnacentral:rRNA from 1 species